UUUAGGAAAACGACGCUUUAUCAUCCCAGCCACAUAUAUCUCGGCUUCAUCAGCCGAUUCUUUACUUUUAUUCGAUUAGUUCGGCUCUUCUUGAACCGAAUAUUUUUCUAUCAAGAAAUUCUCCUUAAAGAAAGUGGCUAUAUCUCGGCUUCAUCGGCCGAUUCUUCACUUUCACUCGAUUGGCUCGGCUCUUCUUGAACCGACUGUUCUUCUAGCAAUGAUUUCUCCUUGCCUUUGCUUUGAUUUUUAUAUCGGCUCCAUUGCAGCCGAUCGUCCUCACUUUUCUUCUGAAA
rnacentral:lncRNA from 1 species